rnacentral:rRNA from 1 species
UACGUAGGGGGCCAGCGUUGCUCGAAAUUACUGGGCGUAAAGGGUUCGUAGGCGGUGCGGCAAGUUGGGAGUGAAAUCUCUGGGCUUAACUCAGAGGCUGCUUUCAAAACUGCCGUGCUCGAGUGCGGGAGAGGCGAGUGGAAUUGCAGGUGUAGCGGUGAAAUGCGUAGAGAUCUGCAGGAACACCCGUGGCGAAGGCGGCUCGCUGGACCGCAACUGACGCUGAGGAACGAAAGCUAGGGGAGCAAACAGG